rnacentral:misc_RNA from 1 species
GAUGAAGAACGUAGCGAAAUGCGAUAAGUAGUGUGAAUUGCAGAAUUCAGUGAAUCAUCGAAUCUUUGAACGCACAUUGCGCCCCUUGGUAUUCCAUGGGGCAUGCCUGUUCGAGCGUCAUCUACACCCUCAAGCUCUGCUUGGUGUUGGGCGUCUGUCCCGCCUCUGCGCGCGGACUCGCCCCAAAUUCAUUGGCAGCGGUCCUUGCCUCCUCUCGCGCAGCACAUUGCGCUUCUCGAGGUGCGCGGCCCGCGUCCACGAAGCAACAUUACCGUCUUUGACCUCGGAUCAGGUAGGGAUACCCGCUGAACUUAAGCAUAUCAAUAACGGAGGA